CUGCUUUGUGUUUUGGUGGAAUGGCAGAAUCGAUGAACUGUGGUGAAUUGUGGUCACAGUUCCCAAGACUGGCUACAAUGCUUUACCGAACAAAUGGUAACUUGAAAUUUCUGUUGCCGCCAUAUUUGUUUCGAAGUGCUUGUCAACACGAUUUUAUUGCAUCCGAUACUGUCUAAUAGGUUUUCUGUUUUUGAGGCCGUGAACACUGUUUUUGAAAAAGACUACAGCAGCAGGGAAUCAGCGUCUGGUACUUCUUUUCCUAUCACCCAUUACGGGAAUUGCUGGCUCCGGUUUUGUUCGUGAGUGGAGAACAGCUGCAAAUGAGCCAGGAUUGUCUUCUUAUAAGUUAAGCGCGCGUUAGAGUUGUUGGUGAUGUUUCACCAACAGGCAAGCAGUAACACUUCUCAAACAUGUCUUAUCGACUAAAAAAUGGAAACACGAAUAAAAUCGAUUAAUUUGAUAUCAAGA